CAGCCGGACCGGCGGCGGCCGAGGGAGGCGGAGACUUGCCAGAGACGCGGGGGGAGGAGGCGGCGGCGCGGGGCUGCUGGAGGCGGAGGCGGAGAGGAGAGGAGAGCUGCGGGGCCGCUGCCACGGCCGCCCAGGAGUUCGUAGAGGUUGGCUGGCUCUGAGGCUGGGAUGGCAAACACGCAUCGCGGAGGAAAAACAACAUUACAGUCACAAGGCACCAAAGAUUUGUAAGAUUCCAAGGCCUUCAAGCCAAGAUCAGCCUGAUGGUUCCUGAAAUAACUGGGAAAACAAAUGCUUCAAGUGCCAGUUGAAGAUUGUGUCUAUGUAUAUUCGAAACCUUCUUUCUAUAUAUACGCAUUUACAUGAGAAGACAGGCUCAUUCUUGUGCACAUUUGGGAGUUUUUCAACUGAUGAAAAUUAAUUUAAGAAUCAGAUGGAGCAACUUGACACUUCUGGGCGCAGGAGCCCAGGGAGAAAAGUAUAUCACUAAUGGCC
rnacentral:lncRNA from 1 species